rnacentral:rRNA from 1 species
UACGUAGGGUGCAAGCGUUGUCCGGAAUUAUUGGGCGUAAAGAGCUCGUAGGCGGAUUCGUAAGUCAGGGGUGAAAUCCCGGGGCUCAACCUCGGAACUGCCUUUGAUACUGCGGGUCUUGAGUCCGAUAGAGGUGGGUGGAAUUCCUAGUGUAGAGGUGAAAUUCGUAGAUAUUCGGAGGAACACCAGUGGCGAAGGCGGCUCACUGGUCCAUUACUGACGCUGAGGUGCGAAAGCGUGGGGAGCAAACAGGG